rnacentral:rRNA from 1 species
UUAAAACUCAAAGGAAUAGACGGGGACCCGCACAAGCGGUGGAGCAUGUGGUUUAAUUCGAAGAUACGCGAAGAACCUUACCUGGGCUUGAUAUCCUAAGAACCUUAUAGAGAUAUGAGGGUGCUAGCUUGCUAGAACUUAGAGACAGGUGCUGCACGGCUGUCGUCAGCUCGUGUCGUGAGAUGUUGGGUUAAGUCCCGCAACGAGCGCAACCCACGUAUUUAGUUGCUAACGGUUCGGCCGAGCACUCUAAAUAGACUGCCUUCGUAAGGAGGAGGAAGGUGUGGACGACGUCAAGUCAUCAUGGCCCUUAUGCCCAGGGCGACACACGUGCUACAAUGGCAUAUACAAUGAGACGCAAUACCGCGAGGUGGAGCAAAUCUAUAAAAUAUGUCCCAGUUCGGAUUGUUCUCUGCAACUCGAGAGCAUGAAGCCGGAAUCGCUAGUAAUCGUAGAUCAGCCAUGCUACGGUGAAUACGUUCCCGGGUCUUGUACUCACCGCCCGUCACACCAUGGGAGUUGAUUUCACUCGAAGCCGGAAUACUAAACUAGUUACCGUCCACAGUGGAAUCAGCGACUGGGGUGAAGUCGUAACAAGGUAACCGUAGGAGAACCUGCGGUUGGAUCACCUCCUUU